GGCUAGGUGGCCGAGUGGUUAAGGCGUAUGUUUCAAGCACAUAUCUCGCAAGAGUCAUCAGUUCGAACCUGGUCCUAGUCA
rnacentral:tRNA from 1 species